GUUGUUUAACAGGGUCAGUCAUAGUAGUAUGAUAGGUGUUGUUUAACAGGGUCAGUCAUAGUAGUAUGAUAGGUGUUGUUUUACCGGGUCAGUCAUAGUAGUAUGAUAGGUGUUGUUUAACAGGGUCAGUCAUAGUAGUAUGAUAGGUGUUGUUCUACAGGGUCAUAGUAGUAUGAUAGGUGUUGUUUUACAGGGUCAGUCAUAGUAGUAUGAUAGGUGUUGUUUUACAGGGUCAUAGUAGUAUGAUAGGUGUUGUUUUACAGGGUCAGUCAUAGUAGUAUGAUAGAUGUUGUUUUACAG
ensembl:lncRNA